UUUUAGCCUGUCGACAGUCCUGUGAGAAGGGAAAGGCGGAGUGGCCGCGGAAUAUAUUCAUGGUCGUUGUAGUAGGAGGAGGACGAGCAGAGGUGUUAGUCUGUGCGGGCCUUAUAUGUAGAAGCAAAAUAGAAAUUUUUUUUGAAAAAAGGCAAAAACGUGCUGGCAUCUUAAAGAUUAACUUAUAUUUUUUUUAAUGUGAGCUUUCGUGGACAAGUCCACUUCACCAGUCCUUUAAGGGGCCACCAUGUUUUUGUUCUUUUUUUUUUAACUUGUUAUUUCUGUGUUGCUUUUGCCUUGAAUAUUCCUAGUCCCAGGAUUUUCGGAGUUGUAGCGUGUGAGAAUUUCAACAAAAAAACCCAAAACAAAAGCAAGAACACAUUGUGACACUUUAAAAACUAAUUGCUGUAAAAUGUAAAUUUCUGGUGAACAUUGUCUAUAUGUUAAGACGUGUGAAAAUGCAGUUUGCUUGGAUUUCGAACCUAUUACAGUAAUGAUUUAUGACCCCUGUUUGGUAUUCAGUUCUGUCCUUUUGUUGGUUUUAAUGGCGUUACGAGUUUUAAUUCAGUGUUAUUGAUGCCAUUGCCUGUAACACGUCUAACUAUUGCUUGUCAGAAUGCUCUUGAUUACACCCGAGUUGCCUGCAAUAUACUUUGUGUUAAAAAAAAGUGUGUAUCCUGCCAUUUCGUUUUAGUGGAACCUGCACCCUGACAGGGCGUGGACUGCUCUCCUUUUUGGGUCCAAUCCUGUCUUCUUCAAGGUUACUCCAUUCCAGCUCCACUACCCAGCUUUUCAUCUCACCCUACACAACCAUCAGUAGUCUGCAUUCCUUGAGCAUACCCACUGCUCACUGGAGUUCCCUUCUCCAUCCUGAGGCUAUCGGUAAUGCCUAUUUCUGGCUUAAUAUUCCAGCUCUAAAUGUGUUUCAAGGAAACAUCAUUAAUACUGGCUCCCUUCCUUCACUUUCAUCUGUCAAAGAUUGCCAACACUCUAUAGAACAGAGAGAGGCAUGAAAGGCAUUAUCACCCCAUUGGCUCUACUGAAAGAUCGGCUGUGUUUGUUUCACAUUCUCCCAACACUUUUUCUAUCCCAGUUGCUCAUUAUAAAAAUGUCUGUGGAUCUCUAAGUGUUGUUGCCUAAGUUUGUUGUCCCUUUCUUUCUUAUCUUAUUUUUACUUUUGUAUCCUGAUAGUAUAUAAGCAGAAUUUGUUUUUUAUUUAUCUUACAUAGGCUGCUCUGGGAACUUUUUUGACUAAAGAACAGAGUGAAAAUACCUUCAAGAAACAUGUUCAAAAGGAAUUUCUGGUCACUCGGCCCAGGAGCAACAAUCUCUGAAAACUCACAUAUAAGGAGCCUCAUGGCA
rnacentral:lncRNA from 1 species